rnacentral:rRNA from 1 species
CCAAUAGCGUAUAUUAAAGUUGUUGCAGUUAAAAAGCUCGUAGUUGAACUUCGGGGUUUACCCAUUGGUCAGGCUUAAUUGUCUGUACUGGUGAGAUAAAUCUCUACCUUCUGAGGAACUUUCAUGCCAUUUAUUUGGUGUGGGAGGAAAUCAGGACUGUUACUUUGAAAAAAUUAGAGUGUUUAAAGCAGGCUAACGUCUGAAUACAUUAGCAUGGAAUAAUGAAAUAGGACGGACUGAUUCUAUUUCGUUGGUUUCUAGGAUCACCGUAAUGAUUAAUAGGGAUAGUUGGGGGCAUUAGUAUUCAAUUGUCAGAGGUGAAAUUCUUGGAUUUAUUGAAGACUAACUACUGCGAAAGCAUUUGCCAAGGAUGUUUUCAUUAAUCAAGAACGAAAGUUAGGGGAUCGAAGACGAUCGGACACCGUCGUAGUCUUAACCAUAAACUAUGCCGACUAGGGAUCGGACGAAGUUAAUUUUAUAAUGACGCGUUCGGCACCUUACG